GUGGCUGUGGCUUAGCAGCAGAGCACUCACCUGUCACGUGUGAGGCACUGGGUUAGAUCCUUAGCACCACA
rnacentral:tRNA from 1 species